GUAAAUUAAAAAAGUAAAAAACCUAAAACAAGCACGAACAAUAUUUACCUUUAUAACUCUCCAUAAUAUAUCAUCAUAUGUUCAGGUAUUGCAAGAAAGAAAAAGAAAACUGCUAAGUGCGCCUGGUCUCAAGAUGAGAUGGACUACAUCCGGGAUGGUAUCCAAAUGUUCGGUGCAGGGGAUUGGGCAACGAUACGCGAUCAUUAUCCAUUUCAAAUUGCCCAUCAAAACUCAGUUAAGAUUAAAGAUAAGUACCGCAAUAUGGUGAAGAAUGGACUGAUUGUUGAAGAGCAAUAAGAAUUCAAAGUAGUCUUUAGUGUUGGGUUGUACGCAGUGAUCAAACUACAGAUCGGGUUGUGUUGUAUAGUGCACUAUAUACAGAGUUUGCUCUGUAGUGAUGCAACAUUAAGAAUUCCUCGUGCAACAUGGCCUUGGGGAACAUACCAGGGAUAGCAAGGUGGAAUCUCGUUCUCGACCAAUCAAUGCAUUUGUUGACAUUUUCGUCAAGUUCAUUUUCGUCAUUUUUGACAAGUCUACUUCCGGUGAAAACAUACAUUUGAACAGAAUAUUUAGAGUUCGAAGGGUCAGGAUUUUUAAUGUUUCUGAUUGGAUUCAACCUGAGAAUUUAAAAUAAGAAGUUUUCUAAAAAAUUGACGCUGGGAUAUGCGUCUUAUUGCCUAGUUUGAAAGUUAUCGGCAUUCGGACAGCGUCGUAUAAAAAGCGCGAAAGUUCGAAUGCCGAUAAUUUUAGAACAAGACAAUAAAACGCAAAUCCCAGUGGCAAAUUUUUAGAAACCUUAUCUUUCCUUGAAUCCAAUAAAAAAUGAAAAAUUCUGAUCCCCUCGAAGUUUAAUUUAAGACCCUAAAUUUUCUGUUCAAAUAUUUUUUACCGGAAGUGGGCUUUCUGGCUCGCAGGGAAACUACCUACAAUAGCCAAUUACACAUUCUGAUUGGCUUAGAGCGAAAUUGUCAACAAAUGCGCUGAUUGGUCUAGAACGAAAUUCCCCCUUGUUACCAGAGACACGUACAUACAGCUAUUUCAAUGGAAAUGUGAAUAUAAUGCAAAUGUGCAUUAUAGACUAAAUUUUGAUCUAGAC
rnacentral:lncRNA from 1 species